rnacentral:lncRNA from 1 species
UGGCAUUUGAAUGAGCAGGGUCCUUUUAAUCCUGUGGCUGCUUACCCCAGAGUAAUAGCAGAUGGAAUCUGCUUUUUAUUACUUUUGCCUGUUGCCCCUGAGUCCACACCAGAAACCACUCAGGCAGGAUCUGGAAAGCAUACAAACCUCAUCAAAUAAAACGGAGGAACAAGUCCACUCUGGCUUCUGAGAACUCCAGGAACUCCUGGAAGAAGGUGCUUCAUCUCUGCAGUGCUUGGAACCCUGGCUGACAAGGAAAACGAGAAUGCUGAGUGUAACAAUGACCCCAGGAAUUCAAGCCAAGGAGCCCAAGAGGGGCCAGAUGGCGCCUUCAUUCCUGGUGCCAGAACUGUGGCGUUUCUCUGAAUGUAAGACUUUCACGCAGACUCUAAAAUAUUAUCACGUAAGCAAAGAAAUUUGUUUUUUGUUCAGAAAGAAUGACUGGUUAUUGUCAAAGUUCUGCAACAUCUGUGCCUUAGUACUGGCUGUUAAGUGGCCUUAGAGGAAGACCAUUUGAUAAUCAGCCCAGAAGGCCAAAGAAUUGUAUGACUUCCAGGUGGGCCCCAGUGUAUGCUUGGGUGGGGAAACAUAUUGGUGCACAUGCUUUUCUCAGUGGGAACUAGAACGUGAACUCUGAACAUUUCCUGCACCUAUUCUAAGCUUCACAGAAAGUUUUAUGUUGAAAUUCUGUUAAGCCUUGCUGUAGAUGAAGAGGUACGAACUGUCUGAAAAUCAUGUUAAAUGUCUGUUAAAGGGCCAGGCAUGGUGCCUCAUGACUGUAAUCCCAACACUUUGGGAGGCUGAAGUGAGAGGAUUGCUUGAGCCCAGGAGUUUGGGACCAGCUAGGCAACAUAGUGAGACCCUGUCCCUACAAAAAUAAAUACACAAAUAAAUUAGCUGGGUGUGGUGGUACACGCCUGUGGUCUCAGCUACUUGGGAG